GCAGCCGCGGUAAUACGGAAGGUCCGGGCGUUAUCCGGAUUUAUUGGGUUUAAAGGGAGCGUAGGCGGCCUUUUAAGCGUGCUGUGAAAUGUACCGGCUCAACCGGUGAAUUGCAGCGCGAACUGGAGGGCUUGAGUUCGCGGAAGGCAGGCGGAAUUCGUGGUGUAGCGGUGAAAUGCUUAGAUAUCACGAAGAACUCCGAUUGCGAAGGCAGCUUGCCGCAGCGUUACUGACGCUGAAGCUCGAAGGUGCGGGUAUCGAACAGGAUUAGAUACCCC
rnacentral:rRNA from 1 species